rnacentral:tRNA from 1 species
GUCUGGAUGGUGUAUAAAAUCACGCUACCUUUUCGAGGUAGAGAAGAAUUUUAGUUCUCCAGAUCG